GAAUUGUUUAAAGAUCUAUGAAGCCAUAGACCUCUGGUACUAAAUCCUGAUGUAGUUGAAUAGCAUGAAGUUUAGCAUAUAAAAUAUCCAAGCUUUUUGCAUUUUUAAAACCCUUGGUAUACCCUCAUCUUUAAUUUCUGUACAACAGACAUAAAAUACCAAUUGAGCACUUGCUGGAGCUUGCCCAAUAGUUUUUACAAAGGCUUUUAGAAUAAUUUUAUAUUUACGCAUUAUUAUUUGAUUUAUUUUCACCAGACUACUUCGAGACAUUUUUUAAGCUAUCUUUUAAAAAUGAAAUAUAUAAACAAGCAAUGUUGCUUUAAGUUAUCUGGCAUCUGUUAUGAACAUGGUUCAUUCUCCCUCAUGGAGAGUUAGUGAAUAUAUAUCACCAAUUACAAGGCAAUGUUCUGCUUCUUUUACUUGACAAAUGAAAAGCAGUUACCCUCAAUAUAAAUUCUGGUACACCAAGGGUUUGAGAUCUCUUGUUAGUCAGAAAAUAUCUGCAAAAGUGCUAAAUGGGCACUGGGUGUUAGAUCUUAUUUCACAUUUUCUUAUUCAACCUUGCUAUAUAUUCUAGAAUUUCUCUAAAAUAAUAAACUCUUCUCUCUUAUUUGUGUGUGUGAUUUUUAUAGUGGAGAAGGCAAAUGCAAAAGCCCUUCCAGAUGACUGAAACAGUGGGGUCCUCUGCAGCUACAGGGGAUUCUAGACAUUAACUAAAGGCCAGCAAGCACUCAAGUCCCCAAGUGUUCUCCCGGUGUAAAUCACUCACUUGUUAACAACAUUUUUCUCUCUCUUCUUUUUCUUACAUUUUUAGGGUGUUACAGUAAUUUGAGAAACAAUGAGCAGGUUGGAAAUAUAACUCUAAAACACUGUCAAGAAGACUGCUCUUCUAAUGAGUUCUGUUGAACCUCUGUAGAUUUCACCACAACUCUUUCAAAGGCACUAUUCACUGAUAAACUAGUACUCAUUUUAGAUCACGGGAUUAUAAUAAAUGACUUCACUUAACGCUGCACUUCUGCAUAGAAAGAUUACUACAUCUCAUUAAAAUCAGUGGGAUUUAUGCAGACUAAUUGCUGGAUUGUAGUCUAUGUUUUAUAUGUAGUGCCUCGUUCUACUCCUUAAUAAGGCAGAAGAAUAUGCAACAGGCAGGUCUAAUUAAUUAAUGUUAGGAUAUUCAAAACUGAAACUAUAAUUAAUACCAACAAAGUUUCAUCCUCAUUGGUUUAACUUGGCUGAAUAAAAUAGAAUACUUUAAAGUACUCUUUCUUAAUAUGUAAUUCUGACAGUGUCAGAUAUAUCUAUGUCUGAGUCUUACAUAAUUGCUGUCUAUAUUAGGGCCAAGCUAGAUGCGACAGUAGCUGCGUUUUUAAAUAUGGAUUGGUCCCAAUUUUGUAGAAAGAGGGGUGGGGUGCUUCUUUUCAGAGCAAAGGGGUGAAGUGUAUAGCCGCCUUCCUGUGCCUGCAAUUUAACCUCCUUGCAGUCUGUCUCCCUUUGUUUUUUCUUUAUCUGAGCUCCAUUGCUGCAACUGUGCCAGCACCCGCAGAAAGCUACUGUGGUGAAAUAAGCAGCAGGCUGGGUUCUUUUCCCUGGUUCAGCCUGAACUAUAUACCAGGCCCUGCUGAAAAUACCACCCAACAGUUUUCUUCUGCAGCUUAUCCAGUUUCUCUUAAGUGCCCUGUACAUAUUGUAUGUUUUAUGAUGAGAUGCAGUUUUUUUAAAUAUGUCUUGCAGAAACGGUUCUGGUAUUUGCAAAUAUAUAGUACAGUUAUCUUAUUGAACUCUCUCACGUUGGGGGCUUGGGCACAUUAACAGAUUAAUCCAUAUGUAUAGGGCUUUUGCUGUUGGUUAAAAUAACAAGAAUCAACA